rnacentral:lncRNA from 1 species
AAGCUCGGAUAUUGAUGAAGUUCGAAAGAAGUUCGGAGUAGGGUCAUCCAUGGCCGGAAGAAGUCUGGAAGGGAUUCAGAGAAUAGUUGAUCAUUGUAGAAGAUCGACCGAUAGUGAAGCCCAGAGAGCCUUUGGAGCAGCCCGGUAGAUAAAUGGAGAAGCUCAUUGUCGGAGAAGUCCGGAUGGUAUUAUGGAAGCUCGGACGGUCGAGGGGGUUCAGAAAGAUGCCACACA